rnacentral:tRNA from 1 species
GCCUCAUUUUUUCAGGGGCAGAGGGUCUCUCUUGUGAACAGAAGGCUUUUGUAAUCGUAGGGUCGCUGAUUCGAUUCCAGCAUGAGGCA